ACCGGUGGCGACCGGCGCACGGGUGAGUAACACGUAUCCAACCUGCCCUUUACUCGGGGAUAGCCUUUCGAAAGAAAGAUUAAUACCCGAUAGCAUAAUGAUUCCGCAUGGUUUCAUUAUUAAAGGAUUCCGGUAAAGGAUGGGGAUGCGUUCCAUUAGGUUGUUGGUGAGGUAACGGCUCACCAAGCCUUCGAUGGAUAGGGGUUCUGAGAGGAAGGUCCCCCACAUUGGAACUGAGACACGGUCCAA
rnacentral:rRNA from 1 species